rnacentral:rRNA from 1 species
ACCUGGUUGGUCCUGCCAGUAGUCAUACGCUCGUCUCAAAGACUAAGCCAUGCAAGUCUAAGUAUAAAUGCUAUACAGUGAAACUGCGAAUGGCUCAUUAUAUCAGUUAUAGUUUAUUUGAUAGUCCCUUACUACUUGGAUAACCGUAGUAAUUCUAGAGCUAAUACAUGCGUCAAUACCCUUCUGGGGUAGUAUUUAUUAGAUGGAAACCAACCCCUUCGGGGUGAUGUGGUGAAUCAUAAUAAGUUUAUGGAUCGCCGGUGGCGAUGGAUCAUUCAAGUUUCUGCCCUAUCAGCUUUGGACGGUAAGGUAUUGGCUUACCGUGGCUUUAACGGGUAACGGGGAAUUAGGGUUCGAUUCCGGAGAGGGAGCCUGAGAA